rnacentral:lncRNA from 1 species
CAUCUUGCAAGUGGCACAUAAGAGAGAUUUAUAUUUUAAAACUAAAGGAGGUAAGAAGCUUUUCUUCCGGCUCCCAUGUUUUUUUUUUCUUUCUGAAUUCGAACUAGAAAAACUUCGAAAAAUGUGUUCUGAUUUUUUUCAAAGGCAAAAUUAGAUUUUUAGGAAAAAGAGAGUCAUGGGGGAUCGGAAGAAAAGCUUUCAAGGAGGUAUACAUGACAUUUUAAUGAACUUUUAAAGUGGUAAAUUACAUGUAAUUCUCAUUGGGCCAAACAAACAAAAAUCAUUUAAUACAAUGCAAUAACAUUAAGUUGUUUUUCCACUUGAUAUUCCACCAAUGUCAUACUAAUUUUACUACCUAGUUUGUACUUCCAAUCAUUAGGGGCAUCUAUAGUCAGAUCUAUUCACAAAACAUCUCUAUUCACAUAAGUCACACAAGUGUCUGUACUAUCCCCUCAAAAUGGCACUUAGUUAGGUAAUUAGCUUCAGUCUUUUAAGAGAUCGAUGGCAUCAAUGUCGGG